rnacentral:rRNA from 1 species
GUGAAUGCUAGCGGCGUGGAUAAGGCAUGCAAGUCAAGGGGACUCAGGUAGUAAUACUUGGGUAACCGGCAGACGAGGUAGUAAUACGCAGGUACGCACCGAAAAGUCUGGUAUAGCUCGCCGAAAGGCGGGGUAAUCCCGGAUGGUACGGCGACGUUAAAGGGGCCACCCGCUUUUUGAGCGGCCUGCGGGGCAUCAGCUAGACGGUCAGGUAAUGGCUAGACCGUGGCUACGACGCCUAGGGGACCUGAGAGGGUGACCCCAACCGAUGGGACUGAGACACGGCCCAUACACCUACGGGUGGCUGCAGUCGAGAAUAGUGGGCAAUGGGCGAAAGCCUGACCAGGCGACGCCGCGUGCUGGACGAAGUCCUUCGGGACGUAAACAGCUUUUACGCGGGAAGAAGUAAGUGACAUUAGCGCGUGAAUAAGGGGCUCCUAACUCUGU